rnacentral:rRNA from 1 species
UACGUAGGGCGCAAGCGUUGUCCGGAAUUAUUGGGCGUAAAGAGCUCGUAGGCGGCUUGUCACGUCGGGUGUGAAAGCCCGGGGCUUAACCCCGGGUCUGCAUUCGAUACGGGCAGGCUAGAGUUCGGUAGGGGAGACGUGGAAUUCCUGGUGUAGCGGUGAAAUGCGCAGAUAUCAGGAGGAACACCGAUGGCGAAGGCAGGUCUCUGGGCAUUAACUGACGCUGAGGAGCGAAAGCAUGGGGAGCGAACAGG